AAGUCGUAACAAGGUUUCCGUAGGUGAACCUGCGGAAGGAUCAUUAACACGUAUCCAACGUUAAACCCCCCGUGCACACAGCGACCUGCUCCCCUCAAUUUCGGUCUUUUGGCAAUCCCUGGUAAAUCAUCGCCGAACAGUUUUGAUUCAGGGACAUCCAAAGGGCCGGGGUAGGGUAUUAAAGUAGUAGUCAAUGCAAAGCAACCUGGUUUCUUUGAAGCAGAAAGUGUGAUGGCGUGAGCCGGAGAACGGACCGAGUGGUAGUUCAAAGACCGGGUUCCUGGUCCUAGACCCCAUAUUCACCACCACAGUCGCAGACGAGGUAGGGAUACGUCCCUACCACCAAAUAAAUACUUGAAACAACUGUUAACAAUGGAUAUCUUGGUUCUC
rnacentral:misc_RNA from 1 species